GAUGAACGCUAGCGGCAGGCCUAACACAUGCAAGUCGAGGGGUAACAGAGAGAAGCUUGCUUUUCUGCUGACGACCGGCGAACGGGUGCGUAACGCGUAUACAAUCUGCCUUGUACAGGAGGAUAGCCCGGAGAAAUCCGGAUUAAUACUCCAUAGCAUUAUUAGAUCGCAUGAUUUUGAUAAUUAAAACUUCGGUGGUACAAGAUGAGUAUGCGUCCUAUUAGCUAGUUGGUAAGGUAACGGCUUACCAAGGCAACGAUAGGUAGGGGGUCUGAGAGGAUUAUCCCCCACACUGGUACUGAGACACGGACCAG
rnacentral:rRNA from 1 species